CCUGCCACGGUAUCACUGAUAUAUUAGUCCCGGUGUUCAUUCAUGAGUUCGACGUUGACGUUGAUCAUGAAAGAAAGAGCACCACCACCGCUGACCGUCGAUCCUUAUAUCUCUUUAAUCUUCCCUCCGUUGACAUAGUUUGCUGCUGAUGUAAUUGGACAUGUAGUGUUUGUUGCACAAGACUACACUGGGGUAGGAGAGAUGGAACAUGGAGAGAAAUCCAUGAAUGAUGCUGAAGCCGGAAAAUGACUGCAGUAGCUGGUUGCCAGUGCAGAAUUUGAAACUCAAUCUGAAGGGUUGAAUAAUAUGCAUAGAGAACAAAAAGAUGUUGUUACAUCAACUGACUCCGUAUGCAUCUCGUGUUUCUAUUUUGUGUGGUUAAGCUUAAUUUGUUUCCUAUGCAUAUCCCAUAGCUUGAAAAAGUGCAACCUACUUUUUAUUUUUUUAUAAGGAUACACUGAUGGCCUACCUUUCACGUGAGAGCAUGGCUCUGCCAACCUAGACUCUCUUCUGUUGUGUGUGUCUGCAUUUUGUUAUGUUUUUUUUCCACUUGUUACAUAUGCUGGUGGAAUAACACAAAUGGUGACAAUGAGGUAAGAA